rnacentral:lncRNA from 1 species
AUCAAGGUUCAUAGAUAGGGGUUAGGUUAUCUCAUAACUAUGUGGGCGGAAGCGAGAGGGAGGGGAAUGCCUACGUCACUCGUACGACAAAGUCAAGUUUGACAGUUGUAUGUGGUUAUAUUUCCGCAUAUUUUUGUGGAAUUUUCUUAUAAUAUCGUUUAUUUGUUUAAUAUUUGUUGAGUUUUUAAGCAUAUAAGGACUAUAUUACUAUAAUUACUUAUUUGGGUCCUAUACAAAGGCAGUAAUGACUUGUGAAGUGUGUUUUCGUAACCGUGUAAGAUGAGUGGUGGUAACAUUUGUAGCAUAGCUAUAUGUAAAAGCAACUCCAAAAUUCCUGAACCAGAUGGAAACAAAAUAAUGUUUUUGGACAUUUCCCAAAUACCUUAAAUUAUCAAACAAUAAUGGAUAAUAAAAUGUUACAAGAUAAAUGGGCCUCUAAACAUAAGAAAAUAGGUAGCAAACAUUUCCUCGUGUCUGAAUAUGUUAAUAUUAUGUUACGUCUUUUUUAUAUUUUAACCUAAUAAUAAAUUAUUUAUAUUA